rnacentral:rRNA from 1 species
AUUGAACGCUAGCGGGAUGCCUUACACAUGCAAGUCGAACGGAGUGGCGAACGGGUGAGUAAUGUAUAGGAACGUGCCCAGUAGCGGGGGAUAACUACGCGAAAGCGUAGCUAAUACCGCAUACUAUUGGAGCGGCCGUUAUCGGAUUAGCUAGUUGGUGGGGGAACGGAUCACCAAGGCGACGAUCCGUAGCAGGUUUGAGAGGACGACCAGCCACACUGGGACUGAGACACGGCCCAGACUCCUACGGAAGGCAGCAUUGGGGAGUUUCUGGCAAUUGGGUAAGCCCUGAUCCAGCCAUCCCGCGUGUGCUAUGAAGGCCUUCGGGUUGUAAAGCACUUUUGGCAGGAAAGCGGUACCUUCAGAAUAAGCACCGGCUAACUACGUGCCAGCAGCCGCGGUAAUUC